AACGAACGCUGGCGGCAGGCUUAACACAUGCAAGUCGAGCGCCCCGCAAGGGGAGCGGCAGACGGGUGAGUAACGCGUGGGAACGUGCCCUUUGGUUCGGAACAACUCCGGGAAACUGGAGCUAAUACCGGAUGUGCCCUUCGGGGGAAAGAUUUAUCGCCAUUGGAGCGGCCCGCGUCUGAUUAGCUAGUUGGUGAGGUAAAGGCUCACCAAGGCGACGAUCAGUAGCGGGUCUGAGAGGAUGAUCAGCCACAUUGGGACUGAGACACGGCCCAAACUCCUACGGGAGGCAGCAGUGGGGAAUCUUGCGCAAUGGGCGAAAGCCUGACGCAGCCAUGCCGCGUGAAUGAUGAAGGUCUUAGGAUUGUAAAAUUCUUUCACCGGGGACGAUAAUGACGGUACCCGGAGAAGAAGCCCCGGCUAACUUCGUGCCAGCAGCCGCGGUAACAC
rnacentral:rRNA from 1 species